rnacentral:lncRNA from 1 species
CCCUUUUUAAAAUUUCAGCACUAUUUCGUUCGUUUUUAUAAUUUAUAUCGAAAAUAUCCACCAAAAUAACAGAAAUAUAUUAAAAUAAAUUUAUAAAAAAAGUAAGGAUGAUUUGAUCAUUUUUCUCUGUCUAUUAAUGUUGUAUUUUUCUGAAAAUAUUUCUAAAAUUUUAAGAAGAAAAAAGUUUAGAUUUUUAAAGUCAAAGAGGAAAAAUAAAAAAACAGGCUUUUACAACCGAUAGCAUAUUUGAUUUGACGAUGGACUUCUAUAAGUAUAAUCUUUGCUAUUAGAAUUAUUUUGAAACUAAAGUUUAUAAUUUUUCGACAUUAUUGCCAAGUCAUUAAAGGUCUCAAAAUUGAUUAUUUUAGUGAGCGACGUGGUAUGUUUGUAAGUUUAAUAAUAUAGAACAAUUCAAAAUGGGCAAAAUUUUAAUAAAAAAUUCUACUUAUUAUUAAAAGCAACAUCAAUAUUUUCAAUUUGAAAUUUAAGUCUUUUAUCAUUUUUAUGAAAUUUUUAUUUUCAGUCGUUCAUUUUGAGGCUACUUGUUUACUAGACAAACAAAGCCAAAAAAAAUUAUAAAAUUUUUGUUUCUAGAUAGUUCCAGCAGUACUGUAGAUUAUGUCUAACGGAGCCGAUUGCCGAAUCGAAUGUUUUAUCAUAAAAAACAAGUUGAAAAUACAGAGGUGUUCGUGCUUUUGAAAGCAUAGUAGCCUAGUUCAUUAUGUUGAAUAUAUUAUAAUGCACCAAUAGUUCUAUGCUGGAUAGAAAGGUAUUGUGAUUUGAAAUAUAAGAGACUAUAGAGUCUUAAUUAUUUUAGGCCAGUAAUUUCAGGAUCCAAUGAGUUAUUAAUGCUAGUAGGCCAGAUCAUUAUUUAAAGUGCUAGGCCAAUAGGAGCCACAUGUAAAAGCUCCAUCAUCUGAUAAUUCUGAUCUGUGAUGUUCUAAUGGUCCCAAAUCAUUAGACAAAUCUUAAUUAUAGUAUAUUUUUUGUUGUCAU